rnacentral:snRNA from 1 species
UAAUUUACGGUUGUUCUAUAACGACUGUUAGGAAGGUGGUUUUCCCAGGGCGAGGCUCACCCGUUGCACUGAGGGUGUGCUGACCCCUGAGAUUUCCCCAAAUGCGGGGAAACUCCACUGCAUCAUUUGUGGUAGUGGAGUUCACGCUCUGC